GACGAACGCUGGCGGCGUGCUUAACACAUGCAAGUCGAACGAAGAGCGAUGGAAGCUUGCUUCUAUCAAUCUUAGUGGCGAACGGGUGAGUAACGCGUAAUCAACCUGCCCUUCAGAGGGGGACAACAGUUGGAAACGACUGCUAAUACCGCAUACGAUCUAAUCUCGGCAUCGAGGAUAGAUGAAAGGUGGCCUCUACAUGUAAGCUAUCACUGAAGGAGGGGAUUGCGUCUGAUUAGCUAGUUGGAGGGGUAACGGCCCACCAAGGCGAUGAUCAGUAGCCGGUCUGAGAGGAUGAACGGCCACAUUGGGACUGAGACACGGCCCAGACUCCUACGGGAGGCAGCAGUGGGGAAUCUUCCGCAAUGGACGAAAGUCUGACGGAGCAACGCCGCGUGAGUGAUGACGGCCUUUCGGGGUUGUAAAAGCUCUGUUAAUCGGGACGAAAAGGCCCUUCCUGGG
rnacentral:rRNA from 1 species